rnacentral:rRNA from 1 species
GAUGAACGCUAGCGGCAGGCUUAAUACAUGCAAGUCGAGGGGCAGCACGGUUAGCAAUAACUGGUGGCGACCGGCGCACGGGUGCGUAACACGUAUACAAUCUACCUUAAACAGGGGGAUAGCCUUUCGAAAGAGAGAUUAAUACCCCGUAAUAAAUUGAACGGCAUCGUUUGAUUUUGAAAGCUCCGGCGGUUUGAGAUGAGUAUGCGUCUGAUUAGCUAGUUGGUGAGGUAACGGCUCACCAAGGCGACGAUCAGUAGGGGAUCUGAGAGGACUAACCCCCACACUGGUACUGAGACACGGACCAGACUCCUACGGGAGGCAGCAGUAAGGAAUAUUGGUCAAUGGAGGCAACCCUGAACCAGCCAUGGCCGCGUGCAGGAUGAC